rnacentral:misc_RNA from 1 species
UAGAAAGGUAAGAAAGAGAAAGAUAAGAAGAAGAAGGAAAAUGGCAGACGCUAAGAAAAAGGUAAGAAGCCGGCAAAGAAGAUUUCGCGGUCAGGUUCAAAGUCUUCUCGAUUAGAGGCUUCCCCAACUGCACUGGUUUUUCAACCUCCAUGGGACUUCUUUCCCGGGAAAGCGAAAGCACAACUUUCCUUACUUCUUAUACCCUUGCGGGCAAAACAAAGCAAACCUUUGUCUUUUCUCUAACAAAUAUUAGGAAAGAAAUGCUAACCCGGAAC